UACGUAGGGUGCGAGCGUUGUCCGGAAUUAUUGGGCGUAAAAAGCUUGUAGGCGGUCUGUCGCGUCUGCUGUGAAAAUCCGGGGCUCAACCCCGGACUUGCAGUGGGUACGGGCAGACUAGAGUGUGGUAGGGGAGACUGGAAUUCCUGGUGUAGCGGUGAAAUGCGCAGAUAUCAGGAGGAACACCGAUGGCGAAGGCAGGUCUCUGGGCCACUACUGACGCUGAGAAGCGAAAGCAUGGGGAGCGAACAGG
rnacentral:rRNA from 1 species